CCAGGGUGAAGGAUGGUGGGUGUUGUCGUCCAAACAUAUCUCCAGGUCUUUCUCGCCCAUCUUCAAUAGUGAUGAAAUAGAAAUAGUUCCUAAUUUGAACUUCCUGACUAGAAAUAGUUCCUAAUUUGCAUUUAGAGGUGAAGAGUAGCACAUGCAACUGUAUGUAUGUAUGUAUGUAUGUAUGUAUGUAUGUAUGUAUGUAUGUAUGUAUAUGGAGGUGUAUGUGUAUGUGAAGAGUAGCACAUGCAACUGAAUGUAUGUAUGUAUGUAUGUAUGUAUGUAUGUAUGUAUGUAUGUAUGUAUAUGGAGGUGUAUGUGUAUGUGAAGAGUAGCACAUGCAACUGAAUGUAUGUAUGUAUGUAUGUAUGUAUGAAUGUAUGUAUGUAUGUAUGUAUAUGGAGGUGUAUGUGUAUGUGUAUAUUAAUCUCAGUCCUUGGUUUUGGCGUUUUGGCCUUCCAGUGCGGGAGGGGGCUGGGUUGACGGCCUUUCGCGGUCCCCGCUUGGAGGGCGUCGGCAUUGCUCGACGACGCCCCGGUCGUCCCUUCCCCUUGGUUGCUUCAGCGAAGGGGUUAAGGGGCAGAGCCUUUUCUUUUGCGCCUAGAGAGGAGGCAGGGAAAGGGGGCUGGGAAUCCAGCUUCCUUCCCGCUCCCUCUUUCUGCUCUCCCGACGUCUUUGAAGCCAGGCCUGCGGGGAUCCCUCUCGGGGAGAGCGCCAGAAUUCUUCAUUGGUCAAGCGUGAUUGGACACACAAGAAAUUUGUCUUGGUGCAAGGUGCUCUCUGUACAUAAAAGAAAAGAUACAUUCGUCAAGAGUCGAGAAUCAUCAGCCCACAGGGAUUUGCUUAAGAACUGCAGAGGAACAGAUAUAAGUUGGCACUGUCAUGUGACAUCAUGCUUCAUGAUCAGGCUGCUUAGUGACACAGAUGCCAUACUCAAAUACAGUCACUAAGUGAAGACUACUUGAAUUGAGAUAUCACCAGAGUGGCUGUGGAAAAUAUAUUCUGACCUUACUUGGAGCUGAUAACUUCUAUGGGCAAACUGGUGCUUCAAAUCGUGCAG
rnacentral:lncRNA from 1 species